UGUGCGAUGUGGGGACGGAGAUGGUUAACUCAUCCGGGUGUUGGAUGUCCCGGUUCAAGCCUGUAGUCGUGCCUGGUAGGCAAAUCCGCCGGGCUUAGAUGAGGGGUGAUAACGAGGCGGCUUGCCGCCGAAGUGAGUGAUACCCUGCUUCCAGGAAAAGCCACUAAGCUUCAGCUACACACGGCCGUACCGCAAACCGACACUGGUGCGCGAGAUGAGUAUUCUAAGUCGCUUGAGAGAACUCCGGAGAAGGAACUCGGCAAAUUGACACCGUAACUUCGGAAGAAGGUGUGCCUUUAGUAGGUGAACCAGUACAUGGGGAGCCCAAUGAGGCCGCAGAGAAUCGGUGGCUGCAACUGUUUAAUAAAAACACAGCACUCUGCAAAGACGAAAGUCGACGUAUAGGGUGUGACGCCUGCCCGGUGCUGGAAGAUUAAAUGAUGGGGUGCAAGCUCUUGACUGAAGUCCCAGUAAACGGCGGCCGUAACUAUAACGGUCCUAAGGUAGCGAAAUUCCUUGUCGGGUAAGUUCCGACCUGCACGAAUGGCGUAAUGAUGGCCACACUGUCUCCUCCAGAGACUCAGCGAAGUUGAAAUGUUUGUGAUGAUGCAAUCUCCCCGCGGAAAGACGGAAAGACCCCAUGAACCUUUACUGUAGCUUUACAUUGGACUUUGAACAGAUCUGUGUAGGAUAGGUGGGAGGCUUUGAAGCGGUGCCGCUAGGUGUCGUGGAGCCAACCUUGAAAUACCACCCUGGUGUGUUUGAGGUUCUAACCUUGGCCCGUGAUCCGGGUUGGGGACAGUGUAUGGUGGGCAGUUUGACUGGGGCGGUCUCCUCCCAAAGUGUAACGGAGGAGUUCGAAGGUACGCUAAAUACGGUCGGAAAUCGUGUUGAUAGUGCAUUGGCAUAAGCGUGCUUGACUGCGAGACUGACAAGUCGAGCAGGUACGAAAGUAGGACAAAGUGAUCCGGUGGUUCUGUAUGGAAGGGCCAUCGCUCAACGGAUAAAAGGUACUCUGGGGAUAACAGGCUGAUACCGCCCAAGAGUUCGUAUCGACGGCGGUGUUUGGCACCUCGAUGUCGGCUCAUCUCAUCCUGGGGCUGUAGCCGGUCCCAAGGGUAUGGCUGUUCGCCAUUUAAAGAGGUACGUGAGCUGGGUUUAAAACGUCGUGAGACAGUUUGGUCCCUAUCUUCCGUGGGCGCUGCAAGAUUGAGAGAGCCUGCUCCUAGUACGAGAGGACCGGAGUGGACGCACCUCUGGUGUAUCGGUUGUCACGCCAGUGGCAUUGCCGAGUAGCUAAGUGCGGAAGAGAUAACCGCUGAAAGCAUCUAAGCGGGAAACUCGUCUCAAGAUGAGUCUUGCCGGGGCCUUGAGCCCCCUGAAGGGUCGUUCGAGACCAGGACGUUGAUAGGCUGGGUGUGGAAGCGCAGUAAUGCGUUAAGCUAACCAGUACUAAUUGCCCGUGAGGCUUGACCCG
rnacentral:rRNA from 1 species